ensembl:lncRNA
GGGCCCUAGUGCCCGGAGGUUCAGAUUCCCUGGCCUUGCGAAUGACAUCUGUGCGAUCCUGGAAACAUCUGGGGAAAUGAGGGACUCAAUUAGCCCCUGAUGGUGUGAAUACAGAUGGAUCUAACCACAAAAUGGGGCUGCCCAGGUGGCUCAGACAGUAAAGAAUCCAUCUGCAAUGUGCGAGACCUUGGUUCCAUCCCUUGGAUGGGAAGAUCCUCUGGAGAAGGAAAUGACAGUGAAGCUGGGACAGGCACAUGACCAAAGACGGGACGAUUGGAUGCUCCGACUGAGGACUUUGAACUCAAGGGAGUGACGCAAAGAAACAG